GGAGAGGUACCGAAGCUUGGUCACAACGGGGCGGUCUCGAAAACCGCUGUUCCCUAAACAGGACACGUGGGUUCGAAUCCCACCCUCUCCGCUA
rnacentral:tRNA from 1 species